ensembl:lncRNA
GAGAGAGAGGCAGAGGAGGUCAGAGAGAGAGAGAGAGAGAGGCAGAGGAGGUCAGAGAGAGAGAGAGAGAGAGGCAGAGGAGGUCAGAGAGAGAGAGAGGCAGAGGAGGUCUGAGAGAGAGAGAGAGGCAGAGGAGGUCUGAGAGAGAGAGGCAGAGGAGGUCUGAGAGAGAGAGAGAGGCAGAGGAGGUCUGAGAGAGAGAGAGGCAGAGGAGGUCUGAGAGGCAGAGGAGGUCUUAGAGAGAGGCAGAGGAGGUCUUAGAGAGAGGCAGAGGAGGUCUUAGAGAGAGAGAGAGGCAGAGGAGGUCUUAGAGAGAGAGAGAGAGGCAGAGGAGGUCUUAGAGAGAGAGGCAGAGGAGGUCUUAGAGAGAGAGAGAGGCAGUGGAGGUCUUAGAGAGAGAGGGGAAGAGGGUGAUCUUGAGUCUGUUAAAAUGGCAGAAGAAAGGGAGACGUUUGUUAAAGAAGAAUGGUAGGAGGGUGAAGUAUCAGAGGUGGUACGUGCGGUAAAGUUAUCAGAGCCGAGGCUUGCAGCUAGGGUCAGGAUAAAGAUGAGUCUGUGACACAGUAGGAGUGAAGUUUUGGGGAAAAGUGGACCUUUGCCUUUUGGCUGAUUCAGGGUGGGCGAAAACAGUUGGGGGCUGUGGAAUCAGUGAAGGUAACCAGAAGAGGUCUUGUGAUAAUAGUUUGUGUUUCUGCUGGUCAGAGGGAGCAGGCACUCCACGUUAAAUGAAUUGGGGCAAGAGAUGUGAAUUUUGAUAAUUGGGGUAGAGGUACAUAUGAAAGUUAGCCAACUAAAGGGGAAGAUUCCCGGUGUUUGUGAUGCUUGUUGUUUGGUGCAACGCAGACAGGGUGGCGCGAGUGGUGAAACAGUGG